CCUGGAACUUUUCCUAGCGCCCGGUGGAUUGGGUGUCUGGAAAAGGGGAGCAGCGCUUCCUUCUGGCCCCUCAAGGACCCCAACCCAGGACCAGGUCUUACUACAUUGCUGAGUUGCCCACACUGGGUUCAAACUUGCACUCCUCCUGCCUCAGCCUCCCGGAGUCCUGGAAUUAUAGUGCCUCAGCCAAGAGGAAAGACCAAGCUGUCCGGGCCUCCACCCUUUCCUCCUCUCUGUCGCUGAAUUGGAAAGUUAGUUGAUGUGGAAUAAUUUUGCCUGUUCAUUUAAAAAAGUGAUUGUGUCCUGUUCCUAGCGUCCAUGAACAACAAAUGCAUUCACUUGUCUAUCCCAUAUGAUUCCUUUCGUGCAGAGAACCCCAAGGCACAGGUAAUAUCCUAAAACAAGGGAAGGUCUGUUUAUGAGCUGCAUUGUGUUCUUACCCUCCACAUUGAUAGGGUGAAGCCCUAAGCUCCAGCGCCUCAGGACAGGAGACAGGGCCAUUAAAGAGCACCUAAGAUAAGGCUGCCAGGGUGCGUCCUAAUCCAAUCUGACUGGCAUCUCACAAAAGAAGAAAUUUAGGGCUGGGGCUGUAGCUCAGCGGUAGGGGGCGUGCCUAGCCUGCACGAAGACCCAUGUGAGGACACAGCAAGAAGGCGGCCAUCUGCAGGUGACAGAGAGGGUCUUCGUGAGAGGUCAAACCCGCCAGCACCUUGGUCUUGGACUUUAGAAUUGUGAGAAAAUCCGUUGCGGUUGCUGAAGCUGCCCACGCUGUGAUACUUUAUUACAGCAGCCGGAGCAGACAAACACAGCCUCCAGCGCUACAGUUUCAGACACCGAUUUAGCCACUGUGAUGUUAUGGGAGGGGGAAGGGAGGGAGAAGUUUCCUCACUGUCCAUAUCCCUCUGAAGUGCAGGCUGGCUUGACAGAUGACUCAGUGAGCCGGGCCUCGGGUGUGGUCCCUGUCACCUCCCCGUGCUCCUCUCUUCAGGGUGUCAUUUCUGAGGGUUGCAAGUCCUUCCGCUCAGGAACGAGUCUGAGGCCAGGCAGUGCCCAUCUGCUGAGACUCCAGACUUUUGCAGAUGCCUGGGUAGAAAUGUUGCAGCAGAAAAUGCUCCCCCGCCAGGUACUUCAGUUGCUUAGUUGCCCAGGUAACAGUUCCUGUUCCAGUUGCUUCUGUCUCUUAGAAAUGGCUGAUCACUGUGAUGCACAAUGUAUAAACCGAUCCCCACCGACAAGCCAUUCUGCCUCUGUACAUCCUGCUUGCUUAUCCCAUAGAACCCCUACACCACCAGGGAUCGGGUCCUGAUAUUUUGGGAGUGAUCCCAAUCAGUGCCUGUCGAUGUAAAUAAAUCUGCCUCCAGA